rnacentral:tRNA from 2 species
AGCGGGGUGGAGCAGCCUGGUAGCUCGUCGGGCUCAUAACCCGAAGGUCAGAGGUUCGAAUCCUCUCCCCGCCACCA